GUCAUGGCCUAGCCUCACCCUUGGAACAAUUGCAUGGGUAGUGGUGCAAUGGAUGCUUGUUACAGAGGAAUAAAACUUGGUAUUAAUUUGCUCCUGCAAAUGGUCCCCAUGUGAUUGAAACAGGUACAACUUUAGUGGAGCAUUCUGCUUUACUUACAAAUUGCACCGUAAGUCUCAAUAUGUUGUUCCAGGUAAGCCUUAAACUGUAGAGUGCAUGAACAAAAUGUGAGAAUUUUUGUUCGUUAUCACCUUGAUACGUGUGAUAACGUGAAACAAGCGACGAACAAAUCAACCGUAGCCAUAACACCUCAUCAAGAAGGCUCUACUACAGCAUAUAUAUAUAUAUAUUUGAUAUCAAAAGAGAUGUGUGUUAAAGGCCAGCGGACUGCAUUUGUUUCAUAUCAUCUGUGUGAGCAGAUGCCAAAGAUAAAGGCCUUUUGGAAGCCCAGUGGUUUCUCCCUUCCUUGAAGAGCAUUUGUCCCAGAGUCUCCAGUGAACAAAAGCAACAGCAGCAGCCUGACAACGGGAGAGGCGCAGCAUUAGGGGUGUCCUUAUAUAGUGUUCUCCAAGCAUGCAAAGCAAUGAUGAAUGUUCAUCUCACCAGAUCUGAUUUGUACAGAAUGGUAGGACAGAUUGCCAUUUCAAGAGUGAGAAUUUAUCACAAGCAUGUGAAAACUGUGCUAGGUUAUUCACGCUGGGACUAAACCCAAGAAUUUCUGGUGGACUGAGAAUUCAUCAUUUGGAAAUAGAGAAGGGACUACUAAUAUCAGUCAGUUGUGUUUGGCUAAUGUGAUGUAGAUGUGAAGAAGGCGGUACUGGAUGUAGCAGGUGAAAAACAUCUGCUGGAGAGAGGGCACAAUUAGUGUCAUCAUCUGUAACUCCUUGUGGGGUGCAUUCCUUCCUUCUAGCUGAAAAGGUGCAGGUGGGAUGGCUCAGGUCCCUUGGGAAACAGAGGAGUGUGAGAGGUGCAGAGAGCUUAGCCUAACCUUGCAAAGGGCAAGAGUAGAUAUGGUUGCUCACUAUUUAUUGGAGGAGAAAAAACAGAUGGAAGGUCUUACAGGUCCAAGAGCUGAUCCCAAGGACGACAGCUUCCAAGAUGUCUCAGAGAGAACCCCAAACUCUGUUCUUGGGCUCAGUGGGAGAGAAGUCUGUCUUCUGAGGAGUAACCGGUUCCAUUUGUGA
rnacentral:lncRNA from 1 species